rnacentral:lncRNA from 1 species
GACAAGAAGCCCUUCCUAGGAAUUCUGUUAAUCCUGUUUGCCCUAUUUCACUUUCAGCAGUUAAUAGGAGGGAUACUUACGGUAGAGAUGAUUCAAAGAAUAUGUCAAAUACUCAAAGUGUAGAGGAUACAAACCCACACCAGAUGAAGGAGUAUUUGCUGGAGUAAGUGGAACAGAAAGCACUGAAAAAAAUGGGGAAGAAGGAAAUGCGAAGACCAACGUCCUUUCACAGUUUACUGAAACAGAAGUAGUUCAGGCUAAGAAAGUAAGAUUACACUCUCCAGAGACAAGCCAAAAGGCAGCCUCUUAUUACAAUAGCAACAAACCCAGGCUUUCAUCUACAUCACAAUCCAGUCAGGCAUCAGAACAGCAAACACCCAAGAAAUCAGGUGAGAAUUUAAUAAUAUUUUAUAAAAACAGUGGAGUAUUUUCCAGACAUACACGAAGAAAGCUUUUUGUAAUACAUGAGGGAAAGUUUAGAAAAAUACAUGUAGCAUGUAAAGCGUAUACUGUAGUGAGUUCCAAAUACUUGAAAUAUUUCCAGAACUUCAGUACUGUAUUUUACAGCACAUACUUACUCUGUUUUGUUUAUCGUACAUUCAUCAGUAUUUCCAGCCUUGUGGUUAAGGGGAUGCAAGAUCAUAACUGAGAGCUUAAAAUAAUAUUACAUUGAUCUUUAGUUAACUGUGUUAUGUCAGUGAUAGUUUAAAAUGACACUGAAUUCGUCCUCAGUUAACUCUUUUACGUACCACAGAUCAAAGAAGAAAACCUGGCUCUCUGUAUAUUUGCCACACAGAUAUCCACUUUUAUUUUAUAGACUGUAUCCUCGUCAGGCACAAAUCAGCAUGGGUUCUGAUUCUGCUGGUACAUUUGGUUUUAGCUGUAAUACAGAAACAAACCUAUUUCUAUGAGAGUAAGGUUCUAGUCUCCUCUGGUAGUUGUAUUCUCUUUUGCCUGUAUGUACUGCUUGCUGUUUAGCAUUUUCAUCCCAUGUCUAUGACUUGCAUUUAUCUUGUAGCCUUGCCAUCACAGUAGAGACUGUCCAGCUGAUAACUCAUCAUAAGCCCCGAGUAUUUUUCAUUUGCUGCUUUUUUGUAAAGCUGGCAGUCAUCUUUUGUACACUGGCUCUUUCUGGAACCAGAGAAUCGUAGCACUCAAGACUAACUGAAACCAAAACCUGUUGUUCAGAUGGGAUCCCUGCUCUCUUAAAACUUUUAAAUAUAAUACAUCUGGACAGAUGAUUCAAAAAUGUUUAUCCUCAUAUCAUUUGGCAUCCUCCUUAACUUGUGUUGAAAUGAAAAAAAAAGUGUCAUUAGAUGAUAGGAAUUUCUUGUGUAGCUUUGCCUUGAU